CAAACAUUCCAGGAGCCAUGGGGAGGAGGCUGGGGGCUGCUCUGGGACUUCUGUGGGUGCAGAUUUGCUGGUUGAGAGGGCUGCAGGUGGAGCAGAGCCCUUCAGUCCAGAGGCUCCAGGAUGGAGCCAGCUCGACCCUGAGGUGCAAUUUCUCUACCACGGUGUACAAUGUGCAGUGGUUCCGACAGAAUCCUGGCGGCGGCCUCCUCAGGCUGUUCUUCAUGACUCCAGGGACAAAGCAGAAGGGAAGGCUACAGUCAACACUGGAUUCCAAGGAAUGCUACAGCAGCCUGCACAUCUCUGCCUCCCAGCUGGAAGACUCGGGCACCUACCUUUGUGCAGCAGAGGCACAGUGCUCCCAGACACCCUGCAGCCUGGCCCCAAAGUGCAGCCGGGCUGCAGCCCCAGCCUCUGCCUCAGGGAGGGUGCACAGCAGCAUUCCCCAGCUGUGGGUUCCUGAUUCACCUCGAGUCGCUGUCAGCUCUUCUGAUCUCAGGACUGUCAUUCAUUUGAUUUGUUCCAUUUACCAUCCGGGAAAUAUUUUAUAA